rnacentral:pre_miRNA from 1 species
GUAUCAUUAGAGACCUGGGCUUGGGUGGUAGGAGGAAUGGAUACUGGUCUUUCAAUUCUGAAUUUGACUCCAGCCCCACAGCCUCAGCCACCCCAGUGAAUUACCAUGGGAAC